GACGAACGCUGGCGGCGUGCUUAACACAUGCAAGUCGAACGGAAAGGCCCUGCUUUUGUGGGGUGCUCGAGUGGCGAACGGGUGAGUAACACUUGAGUAACCUGCCCUUGACUUUGGGAUAACUUCAGGAAACUGGGGCUAAUACCGGAUAGGAGCUCCUGCUGCAUGGUGGGGGUUGGAAAGUUUGGGCGGUUGGGGAUGGACUCGCGGCUUAUCAGCUUGUUGGUGGGGUAGUGGCUUACCAAGGCUUUGACGGGUAGCCGGCCUGAGAGGGUGACCGGCCACAUUGGGACUGAGCUACGGCCCAGACUCCUACGGGAGGCAGCAGUGGGGAAUAUUGCACAAUGGGCGGAAGCCUGAUGCAGCAACGCCGCGUGCGGGAUGACGGCCUUCGGGUUGUAAACCGCUUUCGCCUGUGACGAAGCGUGAGUGACGGUAAUGGGUAAAGAAGCACCGGCUAACUACGUG
rnacentral:rRNA from 1 species